AGCUUUAAGGAAAGCUCUUUGUUUUUUGAAAUGAUGCUUUUAUGAGAUAGAGCUUUUUUAGAUAAUGCUUUUUUAGAUAAUGCUGGGGAAGGUUUUCCGGUUUAUCUCGGAGGGCUUGUAGCUCAGUUGGUUAGAGCGCGCGCUUGAUAAGCGUGAGGUCGGAGGUUCAAGUCCUCCCAGGCCCACCAAUUUACCUAUCCAUUUGCCUUUAUCCGUUUAUUUGCCGAUUUAUCGGUCUAUUGAAUUUAAGUGUUGGUAGCAGUUUUUAUAAUGAUGAGAAAUCAUGCUUAUAAAAGAACUCCUUAUAAAAGGCUUGUUUUUAAAAUGUGACGCUUAUCCAUUUCGCUUAGGCAAGAGAAACUUCAAGCGGUUCAAAUGCAAAAGGCUUUAAAUUUUGCAAAACACUUUGAAUUUUAAAGUGAUCCAAGUUCGUGAUCUCGAAUUUAAAAGUUUCGAAUGCUUUAUCCUUUUUUGGGGGCCGUAGCUCAGCUGGGAGAGCACCUGCUUUGCAAGCAGGGGGU
rnacentral:misc_RNA from 1 species